GGAAGGCACCAUUUCCAUCAUAUUCUUCUGGAGAGAACUUAGUCUCAUCUUCUUCACAGAAGAUGGGGAAAGGUGGCCCAGCUGGUCAGCCCUGUGCCUGGCUGCAUUUCUGUUACUAUGGAAGGAGGGAAAAAGGAAAGCCAGCAGUGCAUGUCACGCUUACAUAAGUAUUUAGCUGUGUAAAUUGAAGUGUUGAGAGCCAAGACUUCAC
rnacentral:lncRNA from 1 species